rnacentral:rRNA from 1 species
CAGAUGGGAGCUUGCUCCCUGAUGUUAGCGGCGGACGGGUGAGUAACACGUGGGUAACCUGCCUGUAAGACUGGGAUAACUCCGGGAAACCGGGGCUAAUACCGGAUGCUUGUUUGAACCGCAUGGUUCAAACAUAAAAGGUGGCUUCGGCUACCACUUACAGAUGGACCCGCGGCGCAUUAGCUAGUUGGUGAGGUAACGGCUCACCAAGGCGACGAUGCGUAGCCGACCUGAGAGGGUGAUCGGCCACACUGGGACUGAGACACGGCCCAGACUCCUACGGGAGGCAGCAGUAGGGAAUCUUCCGCAAUGGACGAAAGUCUGACGGAGCAACGCCGCGUGAGUGAUGAAGGUUUUCGGAUCGUAAAGCUCUGUUGUUAGGGAAGAACAAGUGCCGUUCAAAUAGGGCGGCACCUUGACGGUACCUAACCAGAAAGCCACGGCUAACUACGUGCCAGCAGCCGCGGUAAUACGUAGGUGGCAAGCGUUGUCCGGAAUUAUUGGGCGUAAAGGGCUCGCAGGCGGUUUCUUAAGUCUGAUGUGAAAGCCCCCGGCUCAACCGGGGAGGGUCAUUGGAAACUGGGGAACUUGAGUGCAGAAGAGGAGAGUGGAAUUCCACGUGUAGCGGUGAAAUGCGUAGAGAUGUGGAGGAACACCAGUGGCGAAGGCGACUCUCUGGUCUGUAACUGACGCUGAGGAGCGAAAGCGUGGGGAGCGAACAGGAUUAGAUACCCUGGUAGUCCACGCCGUAAACGAUGAGUGCUAAGUGUUAGGGGGUUUCCGCCCCUUAGUGCUGCAGCUAACGCAUUAAGCACUCCGCCUGGGGAGUACGGUCGCAAGACUGAAACUC